rnacentral:lncRNA from 1 species
UGCUAGAUUAAAGUGUGUUAAAUAUAUUGAAAUAGAUUUAUGCAGUAAACAAACCUGAUGAUGGUUACCUAAUAUUUAUCUUUAUGACAUGGUUUUUAUUGUUUCAUUACAGUGGGGAGAUAUUUGCUCACAAGACAAACGUGUGUGCCUCAGUGACAGAGACCUGGUCUAUCUCCUGGACAUGAGGAGAGAGCAAAGGUCGACCAGAAACUGGAGGAGGCUGUUUCCAUCUGUACUUUCUACCUGUGCUGAAAGUGGCUUGAAAGAGCACCAAAACUGGUCCCUCACACCGGUGGAGCAACUGGCUGUUGCUAUGGAGAGAAGCUUUCUACGUAAAACAUCAUCUUUUUCUGAGUUGAACAUUCCAAAAAUUCCUGCUGGCCCAGCCACUGGAGGUGAGGGUGUUUCUGAAAACUUGCACAACAGGCGUGGUAAGGAAGUGAAAUUUCUUUUUGUGCCAUUAGGAAAAGGUUAAAGGGAUGUAAUCCAUAAAAUUAUUUCUAUCAGGAUUGAUGUAAUAUUUUUUAUGUCCCUUUAAUAUGUUGUGUCCCUCUUCUCAUCUGUGACCACUCACACAAUGUUCUUGUCCCGGCCGCCCUUCAACACAGUGGUCCAGUGGUCGACUUUUCUUUAUCGUCUCCCUCUACACCUAUGUUGACUCAUUCCAUACAUUACCGACGUCUGUGCUCUCAUGGUUCUGUUCUUUGCCGCAGAUUCUGUCUAUUCUAUCAGGCCACCUUGUGAACGAGUUUUAGCUGGUAACGUCAAAGGUUCUCUAUAUACACAAUCUUUGGUAGCGUUCCACAAUGAUUUUAAACGUACAUUUGGUGGCCUUAGAAAGCCACUGAUAUGUCACCCUGUUCAAUAUCGAGCACCAGGCGGAAAAUAAUAAAUUUCCAACCAAUGGUAAAAAAAUUUUUUUAAGAUAAUAUCAAAAUGAUGUUUUAAAAUGUUAAUUUAGAUAACUUAUAUAUUUAGGUUCUCACUCAAUAAAUUAGAAAUUUUCAUGUCAAUUUUUUAAAGUUUUGUCUUUUGUAAGCUUGUUAUCUUGAAGAUUUCGCACAACUAAAAACAGAUAGAGCUUAAAGAAGGUGAAAAUUGGACAGAGUGGAAAGUUACAGAUUCAGAAAAUGCUCCUUGCUUCAGAAAGUGAUUUUCCCAUUUCCCUCUUGGUUUCCCUUUGCCACCACUAUUUGUGUUUCUCUUUCUGCUGGGCUGAUAUUUGCUCCAAUCAAGUCAUUGAUGCUCUAGCUGUUCCCGUCUUUUUCUUGGUCUUCCCCUUCC